rnacentral:rRNA from 1 species
UGGGGAAUAUUGCACAAUCGGGGAAACCCUGAUGCAGCGACGCCGCGUGAGCGAAGAAGGUUUUCGAAUCGUAAAGCUCUGUCCUAUGAGAAGAUAAUGACGGUAUCAUAGGAGGAAGCCCCGGCUAAAUACGUGCCAGCAGCCGCGGUAAUACGUAUGGGGCGAGCGUUGUCCGGAAUUAUUGGGCGUAAAGGGUACGUAGGCGGUCUAUUAAGUCAGGUGUGAAAGCGUGAGGCUUAACCUCAUUAAGCACUUGAAACUGAUAGACUUGAGUGAAGGAGAGGAAAGUGGAAUUCCUAGUGUAGCGGUGAAAUGCGUAGAUAUUAGGAGGAAUACCGGUGGCGAAGGCGACUUUCUGGACUUUUACAGACGCUCAGGUACGAAAGCGAGGGGAGCAAACAGG